UACGUAGGGUGCAAGCGUUAAUCGGAAUUACUGGGCGUAAAGCGUGCGCAGGCGGUUGUGUAAGACAGAUGUGAAAUCCCCGGGCUCAACCUGGGAACUGCAUUUGUGACUGCACAGCUGGAGUGCGGCAGAGGGGAUGGAAUUCCGCGUGUAGCAGUGAAAUGCGUAGAUAUGCGGAGGAACACCGAUGGCGAAGGCAAUCCCCUGGGCCUGCACUGACGCUCAUGCACGAAAGCGUGGGGAGCAAACAGG
rnacentral:rRNA from 1 species